rnacentral:rRNA from 1 species
UGGGGAAUCUUGCGCAAUGGGGGAAACCCUGACGCAGCGACGCCGCGUGGAGGAUGGAGGUCUUCGGGUUGUAAACUCCUUUUCUCAGGAAAGAUGAUGACGGUACCUGAGGAAUAAGCCACGGCUAACUCUGUG